rnacentral:rRNA from 1 species
ACGAACGCUGGCGGCAGGCUUAACACAUGCAAGUCGCACGCCCCGCAAGGGGAGUGGCCGACGGGUGAGUAACGCGUGGGAACAUACCCUUUUCUACGGAAUAGCUCUGGGAAACUGGAAUUAAUACCGUAUACGCCCUACGGGGGAAAGAUUUAUCGGGGAAGGAUUGGCCCGCGUUGGAUUAGCUAGUUGGUGGGGUAAAGGCCUACCAAGGCGACGAUCCAUAGCUGGUCUGAGAGGAUGAUCAGCCACAUUGGGACUGAGACACGGCCCAAACUCCUACGGGAGGCAGCAGUGGGGAAUAUUGGACAAUGGGCGCAAGCCUGAUCCAGCCAUGCCGCGUGAGUGAUGAAGGCCUUAGGGUUGUAAAGCUCUUUCACCGAUGAAGAUAAUGACGGUAGUCGGAGAAGAAGCCCCGGCUAACUUCGUG